GAUGAACGCUAGCUACAGGCUUAACACAUGCAAGUCGAGGGGCAGCAUGGUCUUAGCUUGCUAAGGCCGAUGGCGACCGGCGCACGGGUGAGUAACACGUAUCCAACCUGCCGUCUACUCUUGGACAGCCUUCUGAAAGGAAGAUUAAUACAAGAUGGCAUCAUGAGUCCGCAUGUUCACAUGAUUAAAGGUAUUCCGGUAGACGAUGGGGAUGCGUUCCAUUAGAUAGUAGGCGGGGUAACGGCCCACCUAGUCUUCGAUGGAUAGGGGUUCUGAGAGGAAGGUCCCCCACAUUGGAACUGAGACACGGUCCAAACUCCUACGGGAGGCAGCAGUGAGGAAUAUUGGUCAAUGGGCGAGAGCCUGAACCAGCCAAGUAGCGUGAAGGAUGACUGCCCUAUGGGUUGUAAACUUCUUUUAUAAAGGAAUAAAGUCGGGUAUGCAUACCCGUUUGCAUGUACUUUAUGAAUAAGGAUCGGCUAACUCCGUGCCAGCAGCCGCGGUAAUACGGAGGAUCCGAGCGUUAUCCGGAUUUAUUGGGUUUAAAGGGAGCGUAGAUGGAUGUUUAAGUCAGUUGUGAAAGUUUGCGGCUCAACCGUAAAAUUGCAGUUGAUACUGGAUAUCUUGAGUGCAGUUGAGGCAGGCGGAAUUCGUGGUGUAGCGGUGAAAUGCUUAGAUAUCACGAAGAACUCCGAUUGCGAAGGCAGCCUGCUAAGCUGCAACUGACAUUGAGGCUCGAAAGUGUGGGUAUCAAACAGGAUUAGAUACCCUGGUAGUCCACACGGUAAACGAUGAAUACUCGCUGUUUGCGAUAUACAGCAAGCGGCCAAGCGAAAGCGUUAAGUAUUCCACCUGGGGAGUACGCCGGCAACGGUGAAACUCAAAGGAAUUGACGGGGGCCCGCACAAGCGGAGGAACAUGUGGUUUAAUUCGAUGAUACGCGAGGAACCUUACCCGGGCUUAAAUUGCAGAUGAAUUACGGUGAAAGCCGUAAGCCGCAAGGCAUCUGUGAAGGUGCUGCAUGGUUGCCGUCAGCUCGUGCCGUGAGGUGUCGGCUUAAGUGCCAUAACGAGCGCAACCCUUGUUGUCAGUUACUAACAGGUUCCGCUGAGGACUCUGACAAGACUGCCAUCGUAAGAUGUGAGGAAGGUGGGGAUGACGUCAAAUCAGCACGGCCCUUACGUCCGGGGCUACACACGUGUUACAAUGGGGGGUACAGAGGGCCGCUACCACGCGAGUGGAUGCCAAUCCCAAAAACCUCUCUCAGUUCGGACUGGAGUCUGCAACCCGACUCCACGAAGCUGGAUUCGCUAGUAAUCGCGCAUCAGCCACGGCGCGGUGAAUACGUUCCCGGGCCU
rnacentral:rRNA from 1 species